UUUUGUUUGUGUUUUUCUGUGUUCUCCCUGUUUGCUACACUAAUUUCUGUCAUUUUCAGUAGUUUUAAUAAUGCUCUGAAGAAGAAAAUAUGUUAAUAGUAUUUGACUAGAUAAAAUAAGAGUCACACGUUUUAUUUUUGUUUUGUGACAUUUGUGGCUCUUCAGCAUGACACUGGCAUUCUUCCUCUUCUGAUGCAACUUCCUUCUCUGUUUCAUUCUGUUUUGGUUGAGGUUAUUUCAACCUCCCCCCGCGCAACACACACACUUCUCUGAGCCGUCUUUCAGCUUGUCCAUGAGAUCCUGAGCUGUCACUUGAUUUUCUGAAUAUCCACUUCUGUUUUCUGUGGCAACACCUGCAGAUCAACAUCUAGCCCGCCACCCAGAUGGACACCCCUCCCCCCACUCUGAAAUGCACUCACCCGCGGACCCAGUUAACCUUGGAAAUGAAGAGACCAGUGUGAUGGUGUGAGGAUGACCCUCCAUAUGUGAAAAUAACAAAAAACAGGGUGCUGCUCGUCAUCUUCCCCAUCACUGGGAUUUCUUCAGGUGUCAAAUAGGAUGUCCAGUGGUAGGUGGCUUCAAGAUUGGUUAAUUCAGCAGCACAAUGACAUCACUGAGACGUGGGACGUUUUCAUCUCUCUGCCUCGCCGUUCUCAGUGUGCUGGGCUCCAGCUUGUCCUCUCAAGGAGCAUGGAGUUGGUGGAAGAGGUCAGUGUUUCCAGAAGAAACCGUGCCAUUCCACAGGGAAAUUAGAAAAGGAGAAAGUGACUCCUGAAUAAAGGAGAGUUUAUUCAUUUAAAGACCCUUCUCCCAGGGAUUCUUGGCAGGAAGAGUUCGCUUUCCUGCUGCGCCAGUGAUUGGCUAAAACCAUUUGCACUCCCUUCACCAGAAAACCAGACCUUUUCAUCAGGCUGUCCUUCAGGUAAAAUGUUAAAAUUGGAGAAUAUGCAGCCUUCAUUCAUCUGUCUCCAGGAGCCUUUAAGUCCUUCCCACAACUUCUCAAUCCUGAGGUGACCCUCUGAAGGCCCAGACUUCUGGAUCAGCAGCUCGCCAGGCCCACGGGCUCAGCCUGCAUCCCAGACAUCCUGUGCAUCUGGCAGGCAUUGGCACAUUGAAAUUGUGCAACAGAAGCUUUGAGAAGUUCAUUUCCACACUGGAGACACAGCAUUCUGGUGAUGGUGACCCAGCAUACUCCAAAAAUGCCCUUAUGUUUAGAAACAUAAGUAUCCCCGAAUACUGCUCAUAAAUUACAUGCAAAGAAUCCCUGGACUUACCAAUAGAAAAUAGCAAAAGGAUUCCCCCCCCUCCAAGGUCUUCUGUGAAUAUAUUAUAAACAAGAAUAAACUGUUCCUCCGACUUCACACAA